ensembl:lncRNA
AGGGGAGAAGAGAGAGAGAUUGAGGAAUAGAGGGGAGAAGAGAAGGAAGGAUAGAGGGAUAGAAGGAUCAAGGAAUAGAGGAAUAGACGGGAGAAGAGAAGGAGAGAGAGGGGAGAAAAGAAGGAGGGAUAGCGGGGAGAAGUGCGAGAGGAAUAGACGGAUAGACGGGAGAAGAGAGGGAGGAAUAGAGGGAUAGAGGGGAGAAGAAAAGGAGGGAUAGAGGAAUAGACGGAUAGAGGAGAGAAAAGAGGGAGGGAGAGAGGGAUAGAGGGGAGAAGAGAGGGAUAGACAGGAGAAGUGAAGGAGGAAUAGAGGGAUAGAGGGUUAAAUGGGAGAAGAGAGGGAGGGAUUGAGGAGAGUAGGGAAGGGGGAAUAGAGGGAUAGAGGGAUAGAGGAGUAGAGGGGAGAAAAGAGGGAAAGAGGGGAGAAGAAAAGGAGGGAUUGAGGAAUAGGGGGAUAGAGGGGAGAAAUGAGGGAAAGAGGUAUAGAGGGGAGAAGAGAGGGAGGAAUGGAGGGGAUAGAGGGAUAGAGGGGAGAAGAGAAGGAGGGAUAGAGUGAUAAAGGGGAGAAGAAGAGGGAUAUAAGAGAGAAGAGAGGGAGGAAUUGGGGAAUAGAGGGAUAGAGGGGAGAAGAAGAGGGAUAGAUGGAAGAAGUGAAGGAGGGAUAGAGGGACAGAUGGGAGAAAAGAGGGAGGAAAGGAGGGGAUAGAGGGGAGAAGAGAAAGAGGGAUAGAGGACAGAAGACAGACAGAGGGAUAGAGGGGAGAAGGAGGGAUAAAGGCAUAGAGGAAUAGACGGGAGAAGAGAAGAAGGGAUAGCGGGGAG